GGGGAUUUAGCUCAGUGGUAGAGCGUUUGCCCUGGCAAACGCAAGGCCCUGGGUUCGGUCCCCAGCUCCG
rnacentral:tRNA from 1 species